rnacentral:rRNA from 1 species
UACGUAGGUGACAAGCGUUAUCCGGAUUUAUUGGGCGUAAAGCGCACGCAGGCGGCCUAUCAAGUCUGACGUGAAAUCUCUCGGCUUAACCGGGAGCGGUCGUUGGAAACUGAAGGGCUUGAGGCGAUGAGAGGGGUGUGGAAUUCCCGGUGUAGUGGUGGAAUGCGUAGAUAUCGGGAGGAACAUCAGUGGCGAAAGCGGCACCCUGGCAUUAGCCUGACGCUCAUGUGCGAAAGCGUGGGGAGCGAACGGG